AACGAACGCUGGCGGCGUGCCUAACACAUGCAAGUCGAGCGAAGAACUUCGGUUCUUAGCGGCGGACGGGUGAGUAACACGUGGGUAACCUGCCUCAAAGAGGGGGAUAGCCUCCCGAAAGGGAGAUUAAUACCGCAUAAUAUCAGGAUCUCGCAUGGGAACUUGAUUAAAGGAGCAAUCCGCUUUGAGAUGGACCCGCGGCGCAUUAGCUAGUUGGUGAGGUAACGGCUCACCAAGGCGACGAUGCGUAGCCGACCUGAGAGGGUGAUCGGCCACAUUGGAACUGAGACACGGUCCAGACUCCUACGGGAGGCAGCAGUGGGGAAUAUUGCACAAUGGGCGAAAGCCUGAUGCAGCAACGCCGCGUGAGUGAUGAAGGCCUUCGGGUUGUAAAACUCUGUCUUCUGGGACGAUAAUGACGGUACCAGAGGAGGAAGCCACGGCUAACUACGUG
rnacentral:rRNA from 1 species